UCAAGUACCUGGGUACUGGGAGGUAAUCAAGUACCUGGGUACUGGGAAGUAAUCAAGUACCUGGGUUCUGGGAAGUAAUCAAGUACCUGGGUACUGGGAAGUAAUCAAGUACCUGGGUACUGGGAGGCAAUCAAGUACCUGGGUACUGGGAGGUAAUCAAGUAUCUGGGUACUGGGAAGUAAUCAAGUACCUGGGUAGUGGGAAGUAAUCAAGUACCUGGGUACUGGGAAGUAAUCAAGUACCUGGGUACUGGGAAGUAAUCAAGUACCUGGGUACUGGGAAGUAAUCAAGUACCUGGGUACUGGGAAGUAAUCAAGUACCUGGGUACUGGGAAAUAAUCAAAGUUUAAUACAAGGAAAGGUACAGUAAUGCCAUUCCUUGGAUCAAGAGCCCCUGUUAACACUUAUUAUAUAUAGUCACAACACUUGACAGAGUCCACCUUGCUGCUGAUGUAUUUGUGGUCAUUAUAAAUAAAAAAUAUAUAUUGCACGUUAAUAUAUCUAGCGAUGUGUGUAGCAGUUGGCACCCCUGACCUACAACCUCCAGUAACACCCAGCCAAUUGGUAUUUUACCGAAUUAUGCGUAAAAAAUGGCUGGACUAGGCUUCGCUCUAUGACCCUUGUGGGUUUAGCGCUUAGUUUUGAUUAUAAUAAUAACUGAAUAAUGAAUUAGUGAGUCAAAUAUUUGAAAAAAAAAAAACAGUUUGGUUGCCCACACUGUUCUAUUGUAACUAUUUUUGCGAAGAUAUAUUUUUUUUUAUACGAUUUGUAGUUAUGGACGGCAAUUUUUUUUUCUAUUAAAGAUCAUUUAAUCCAAACGAUUUAUGAAAUUCUCAUUAAGUUUAUAAAGAAACGAGAGAGGAGGGAACAUGACAGUUGUCAGCUGUGUCAGCCCAGGUCAACACACAUUGUGUUGUAGAUGCAGAAGUGUCUGGAGAUGAUGUCAUGCCUAAACUGAAUGAGUUGCGACGUUUCAAGAUCCCCUUCUUGGGUGACAGUACAUCUGAAGUCUUCUUUGAAUCCCUGAUAUCCUGGGGUGAAAGAUACUAUUAAGAAAACUUGGACAUAAUACAACAUUUAAAUCUUUAUGAGAACUUAAUUGUACAGUACCGAUUUACCUUCCUGCAUUUAUGAAUCCUCGUUGUACUAGUAUACUUAUAGAACCUGGAAGGCUUGCGAGCCAAAGAAGAUUUGGAGGAAAAGUCUUUCAGGCUGCGAGUUGCAGGAAGAAAACUCAACAGCUUUGGUAUUGGACCUCAACCUUGGAAAUGAUUCUCCACCAUUUAGGGAAGCGCUGAAACCAGACAUAAGAAGCAUGCAGCAAAAAUCACAUUAUGAGGACAAAUUUCGAUUCUACAAUAAAAAUUAAUCAAGUCUUAAGCAACCUGACUAAAUCUUAUUCAUGGUUCAAGAUUAGUCAUCAUAAAUCAUCCAGCAGUAAUUACUUAGAGCGUGUGGAUGCAG